UACGUAGGUGGCGAGCGUUGUCCGGAUUUAUUGGGCGUAAAGCAUGCGUAGGCGGAUACUUAAGUGGGAUGUGAAAUCCCGGGGCUCAACCCCGGUGCUGCAUUCCAAACUGGGUAUCUAGAGUACAGGAGAGGAAAGCGGAAUUCCUAGUGUAGCGGUGAAAUGCGUAGAGAUUAGGAAGAACACCAGUGGCGAAGGCGGCUUUCUGGACUGUAACUGACGCUGAGGCAUGAAAGCGUGGGUAGCAAACAGGAUUAGAAACCCUAGUAGUCC
rnacentral:rRNA from 1 species